UACGAAGGGGGCUAGCGUUGCUCGGAAUCACUGGGCGUAAAGCGCACGUAGGCGGCUUUCUAAGUCAGGGGUGAAAUCCUGGAGCUCAACUCCAGAACUGCCUUUGAUACUGGAGAGCUUGAGUCCGGGAGAGGUGAGUGGAACUCCGAGUGUAGAGGUGAAAUUCGUAGAUAUUCGGAAGAACACCAGUGGCGAAGGCGGCUCACUGGCCCGGUACUGACGCUGAGGUGCGAAAGCGUGGGGAGCAAGCAGG
rnacentral:rRNA from 1 species